CUUAACAUCAAGCUGAACAGCCAGCAGUCGCUCAAGAUCAUUAAAUGGGAAAGUGAAAAAGAUCAGACAAAAUUGAUUUUCACAUCCGAAAGUGGACAAGCUCAGAACGUUCUAGACCCAAUGCAUCGACCAAAACAUCUUAAUACCAGGGCCAUGGAGAUGCUGUGAAAGACA